GUGGGGAAUAUUGGACAAUGGGCGAAAGCCUGAUCCAGCAAUGUCGCGUGAGUGAUGAAGGCCUUAGGGUUGUAAAGCUCUUUUACCAGGGAUGAUAAUGACAGUACCUGGAGAAUAAGCUCCGGCUAACUCCGUGCCAGCAGCCGCGGUAAUACGGAGGGAGCUAGCGUUGUUCGGAAUUACUGGGCGUAAAGCGCGCGUAGGCGGCUCAGCAAGUCAGGGGUGAAAUCCCGGGGCUCAACCCCGGAACUGCCUUUGAAACUGCUAGGCUAGAAUCCUGGAGAGGCGAGUGGAAUUUCGAGUGUAGAGGUGAAAUUCGUAGAUAUUCGGAAGAACACCAGUGGCGAAGGCGACUCGCUGGACAGGUAUUGACGCUGAGGUGCGAAAGCGUGGGGAGCAAACAGGAUUAGAAACCCUAGUAGUCC
rnacentral:rRNA from 1 species